CUCGUUCAGCAAGUGUCGCAGCCUCAGUCGCACCAUCACCCCGAGACAUCUUCACCCCACGAGCAGCUGCCUCACACUCAGAGCUCGGAUCUCCAGCCAAUCAUAGGGCAGUGGUGACAGAAGAGAACCAACAUUAUUAGCAAUGCAAAUUGGCUCCAUGGUCUCGUGUGUGCUACCUGCUGUGAGUCUUCGUUACUCAGUGGAUUUCGUUACUCUCUGUACAACGUAUUUUAUAAUUUCCAAAUUUAUUUUGCAUAGGUUAUACAUAUAAUUUCAAAUUACCAGGAAUACUGGGUGUGUAUCCAUUCGUUUUGGAACUCGAGCACUUCCUGUCAAUAGAAUCUUGUAGUCGGCUUUCACGCUAACCUUUGUGAUAUUACAGUGUCGUCUUCCAUGUGUUCACCAAGUUGUUAAGUGUAAUUAGUCUAUAUAACCAUGCUUGCAUAUUUUAUGGAUCAGUGUCAUGUCGAUUAAAGUUCUUGAAGUGUACAAAGGUUAUAUUUCAUUCAUCAAUGGUAAUUUUGUAAACUGUGGUAAUGAUACUACCUAGCAAAUAGUUUUUGUAUGUUGUCUGAUUUUGUUUCAAAGGUCCUGGAUAAGAUGCGUCCCCCAGUGAUUUUGAUGGUACUAGACCAACUUUGACUUUCAGUGCAGAUAGGGUAGAUUUUUUUAUGCGAUUCUUUAAGAAUAUUGAUUGUUUUGAGUUGUUUUUGUACUGAAACACAAGCCACUUUCAUCCAGAAGCCACCUGUUGAGCAUUGCGCUCAGAAUUUGUGUUCAGUAAUGUGUUGCAAAGACUUUCCACUACACAUUUUGUUGUGGGUAGCAGACAUCACUUAUAAUGAUUCUCUCUGCCUUUUGUUAUGUGUUAUGUGUACAUUUUUUUUUUUCCAUUUGUAAAAGCUUGGAUUUUGUUUUGUAAAUUUCUUUAUAUUAGUCAUAUAUAAGUAAAUACUUUGUUUUUGUUUAUCCAGCUCACAACUUUUUUUUAAAGCUGUAACAAGUGUAACCUUUUUGUUUGUGCAUUUUGUAACCAGAACAGAAGUACUACAUAUUUUGUUUGCAAAUGUCUUCCAUAUUAGUGAAAUGUCCCCAGAUUGAGAAAUCCUGCAAGUAUAGAAUUGGGACUCGGUGACUAUGUUAAUAUUGUUUAUGAAUAUAUCUGGGAAUUAUAAAUUGAAGUGAUGGAAAUGUCAUGGAAAUGUGGUGAAAUAUCACAUAACUAUAUUAUUUUGUUCGGCUAUCAAGCCUUCUUUUUGACAUCUUUCAUCAAACAUCUAGUUGCUGUGUUGAGUUUUGAAAUAUACUGACGUAGAAGUAAGUCACUCUGUUGAUGCUGAAAGCGUUUGUCGUUACGUGCAAUACUUUGCUGAUCUGUGUUCAUCUCCAGUUAAUUUUUGCAAGCUGCUCCUGUAUUGCUCCUUUGUUAAUCACUACCUCAUUUUCAUAUCGAACCUUCUCCCUGAAGUGCGCACGUGUGCAUUUCAAAGGCUGCAGUAUAGAUUCUUUUGUACGUGUAGGUUUUUAUACCUGAAAUGUAGUUUUAGUUAGUGGUGUGUCUUUGAAAGAGGUAUACUGUACGAUACAAGAAUGUUGUUGAAAUUUCAGCCUAGAGAAACUUCGAUAUAUAUCUGUAUCUUCGGGGUUUGACUGCAAAGCAAAUUUAGCAUUUGAUGACAGACCACCCACAAGUAUGUACUCGUGAACUUUGACAUUUUAAAGCAAUUUGUAUGUCUAUUUUUAUGUGUUUUGUGACGUUUUACAAUGAUAAACAACUACUUUCGUAAACACACUUUUUUAUGAUUUUGCUAUUGUAAGAUUUAAGUACAAAUGUUGACUUGUAAUGAAACAGAGCAGCUGAUGUCUUGAACAUGCUUUAUAUGUAAAUAUAACCAUCUACAAUAUAUAUAUAUUUUCACAAGGUU